CCUACGGGUGGCUGCAGUGGGGAAUAUUGCACAAUGGGGGAAACCCUGAUGCAGCGACGCCGCGUGAGUGAAGAAGGACUUCGGUAUGUAAAGCUCUGUCAGCAGGGAAGAAAAUGACGGUACCUGACCAAGAAGCCCCGGCUAACUCCGUGCCAGCAGCCGCGGUAAUACGUAGGGGGCAAGCGUUAUCCGGUUGUACUGGGUGUAAAGGGAGCGUAGACGGCAGGGCAAGUCUGGCGUGAAAGGCGGGGGCUUAACCCCCGGACUGCUGUGGAAACUGCCAGGCUGGAGUGUAGGAGAGGUAAGUGGAAUUCCAGGUGUAGCGGUGAAAUGCGUAGAUAUUAGGAGGAACACCAGUGGCGAAGGCGGCUUACUGGACUGUAACUGACGUUGAGGCGCGAAAGCGUGGGGAGCAAACAGGAUUAGAUACCCUUGUAGUC
rnacentral:rRNA from 1 species